UUCCUACGGGAGGCUGCAGUGAGGAAUCUUGCGCAAUGGGCGAAAGCCUGACGCAGCGACGCCGCGUGGAGGAUGAAGGCCUUCGGGUUGUAAACUUCUGUUAAGUGGGAAGAAAUCCUUAUCUUUAAUAGAGAUGAGGGAUGACGGUACCAUUAGAGAAAGCACUGGCUAAUCUCGUGCCAGCAGCCGCGGUAAUACGAGAGGUGCAAGCGUUAUUCGGAAUCAUUGGGCGUAAAGGGUGCGUAGACGGUGUGUUAAGUCUGUUGUUAAAUUUUCCGGCCUAACCGGAAGCUUGCGGCGGAAACUGGCGCACUAGAGGGUGGAAGAGAGAAGUGGAAUUCUCGGAGUAGCGGUAAAAUGCGUGGAUCUCGAGAGGAACACCAAUGGCGAAGGCAGCUUCUUGGUCCAUACCUGACGUUGAGGCACGAAAGCGUGGGGAGCAAACAGGAUUAGAUACCCCAGUAGUC
rnacentral:rRNA from 1 species